GAAGAUGUGGCUGCAACAGUUU
rnacentral:siRNA from 1 species